AUGUACCCCCUUACACUCCGGUUCCUCCGCGCCGUCCGCAUCCACCUGACGACUGCUCGCUACGUUUUGUCAGCC
rnacentral:sRNA from 1 species